AGUGUAUUGGUUUCAUUAUAACCUGUGUAGUUUUAUUUUUUUUCUGUAUGUAAACAACUUUUUUACCAUAAAUCAUGAUCCAAUCAGCAUAUUUUUAUAUGAGAGUUUUUAUAAAACAAUAUCUGGAAUUUCGGAUCUAGUUGGAGUGUUACAGGGAUCAUAUUUUGAUUUUCUGAGUGGUUUUUGACGUACUCUGGACAUUUUUAAGCAUUCAUAGAUAUUUAACAUUUCUGUGAUAUUUUACU